ACGAAGAGGAUGCUGAUGGAGCGACGAAGAGGAUGCUGACGGAGAGACGGGAAGCAUGCUGAUGGAGAACAAGAUGAAAAACAAGAUGAGAUUUUUAAGAAAUCUUGGAUUUUGAGAGAGCAUAUAUACUCUGUUGAAUUCGGCGUAUUCUUACUAAGUCAGAGAGUUCCCUCGCUCUCUGACUUAGAAAACGAAUUUUGUGGUAAAGUAUUUCAAAGUAGGCUCCUGCCACCUAUUUUGGAAUAAUGUUGUACAAAUUUCUAUUAAGUAAUGAUUUUAGAAUAAUAAUGUUGUUUGAAAAGCAUUUAUGCCGUGAUGAAUAAAUAACAUCCAUCGGUAGUUUUGAAACGACUGUCAGCUUAAAAUAUGCAUAUGUAUUUAAAUUAAACAUGGUCACCAUGCCAGCAA